UACGUAGGUGGCAAGCGUUGUCCGGAUUUAUUGGGUUUAAAGGGUGCGUAGGCGGCUUUUUAAGUCAGUGGUGAAAUGCUCGAGCUUAACUCGAGAGCUGCCAAUGAUACUGAAAAGCUUGAGUACAAACGAAGUUGGCGGAAUUGAAAGUGUAGCGGUGAAAUGCAUAGAUAUUUUCAAGAACACCGAUAGCGAAGGCAGCUGACUAGGAUGUAACUGACGCUGAAGCACGAAAGUGUGGGGAUCAAACAGG
rnacentral:rRNA from 1 species